AUGUUAGCGGCGGACGGGUGAGUAACACGUGGAUAACCUACCUAUAAGACUGGGAUAACUUCGGGAAACCGGAGCUAAUACCGGAUAAUAUUUUGAACCGCAUGGUUCAAAAGUGAAAGACGGUCUUGCUGUCACUUAUAGAUGGAUCCGCGCUGCAUUAGCUAGUUGGUAAGGUAACGGCUUACCAAGGCAACGAUGCAUAGCCGACCUGAGAGGGUGAUCGGCCACACUGGAACUGAGACACGGUCCAGACUCCUACGGGAGGCAGCAGUAGGGAAUCUUCCGCAAUGGGCGAAAGCCUGACGGAGCAACGCCGCGUGAGUGAUGAAGGUCUUCGGAUCGUAAAACUCUGUUAUUAGGGAAGAACAUAUGUGUAAGUAACUGUGCACAUCUUGACGGUACCUAAUCAGAAAGCCACGGCUAACUACGUGCCAGCAGCCGCGGUAAUACGUAGGUGGCAAGCGUUAUCCGGAAUUAUUGGGCGUAAAGCGCGCGUAGGCGGUUUUUUAAGUCUGAUGUGAAAGCCCACGGCUCAACCGUGGAGGGUCAUUGGAAACUGGAAAACUUGAGUGCAGAAGAGGAAAGUGGAAUUCCAUGUGUAGCGGUGAAAUGCGCAGAGAUAUGGAGGAACACCAGUGGCGAAGGCGACUUUCUGGUCUGUAACUGACGCUGAUGUGCGAAAGCGUGGGGAUCAAACAGGAUUAGAUACCCUGGUAGUCCACGCCGUAAACGAUGAGUGCUAAGUGUUAGGGGGUUUCCGCCCCUUAGUGCUGCAGCUAACGCAUUAAGCACUCCGCCUGGGGAGUACGACCGCAAGGUUGAAACUCAAAGGAAUUGACGGGGACCCGCACAAGCGGUGGAGCAUGUGGUUUAAUUCGAAGCAACGCGAAGAACCUUACCAAAUCUUGACAUCCUUUGACAACUCUAGAGAUAGAGCCUUCCCCUUCGGGGGACAAAGUGACAGGUGGUGCAUGGUUGUCGUCAGCUCGUGUCGUGAGAUGUUGGGUUAAGUCCCGCAACGAGCGCAACCCUUAAGCUUAGUUGCCAUCAUUAAGUUGGGCACUCUAAGUUGACUGCCGGUGACAAACCGGAGGAAGGUGGGGAUGACGUCAAAUCAUCAUGCCCCUUAUGAUUUGGGCUACACACGUGCUACAAUGGACAAUACAAAGGGCAGCGAAACCGCGAGGUCAAGCAAAUCC
rnacentral:rRNA from 1 species